rnacentral:rRNA from 1 species
AUGAACGCUGGCGGCGUGCUUAAUACAUGCAAGUCGAGCGAACAGACGAGGAGCUUGCUCCUCUGACGUUAGCGGCGGACGGGUGAGUAACACGUGGAUAACCUACCUAUAAGACUGGGAUAACUUCGGGAAACCGGAGCUAAUACCGGAUAAUAUAUUGAACCGCAUGGUUCAAUAGUGAAAGACGGUUUUGCUGUCACUUAUAGAUGGAUCCGCGCCGCAUUAGCUAGUUGGUAAGGUAACGGCUUACCAAGGCAACGAUGCGUAGCCGACCUGAGAGGGUGAUCGGCCACACUGGAACUGAGACACGGUCCAGACUCCUACGGGAGGCAGCAGUAGGGAAUCUUCCGCAAUGGGCGAAAGCCUGACGGAGCAACGCCGCGUGAGUGAUGAAGGUCUUUGGAUCGUAAAACUCUGUUAUUAGGGAAGAACAAAUGUGUAAGUAACUAUGCACGUCUUGACGGUACCUAAUCAGAAAGCCACGGCUAACUACGUG